rnacentral:misc_RNA from 1 species
GGCUCACCUCGGUCCUGAUCCUGUUCCUGAUGUAUCUCGGGAUCAUGGCGCUGUGGCGUGCCGUGGAAGAUCCCGCGCGCGCGGCGCGCGCGGCGGCGAUCCUGACGUUGGUCGGCGCGAUCAAUAUUCCGAUCAUCAAGUUUUCGGUCGACUGGUGGAACACGCUGCAUCAGGGCGCAUCGGUGAUCCGCGCCGGCGGGCCGACGAUGGACCGCGCGUUCCUCAUUCCGCUGCUCAUCAUGG